rnacentral:rRNA from 1 species
AUACGUAGGGCGCGAGCGUUGUCCGGAAUUACUGGGUGUAAAGGGAGCGUAGGCGGGAGUGCAAGUCAGAUGUGAAAUACAUGGGGUCAAACCAUGGGCUGCAUUUGAAACUGCAUUUCUUGAGUGAAGUAGAGGGAAGCGGAAUUCCGGGAGUAGCGGUGACAUGCGUAGAUGGCAGGAGGAACACCGGUGGCGAAGGCGGCUUCCUGGGCUUUUACUGACGCUGAGGCUCGAAAGCGUGGGGAGCAAACAGGAUUAGAUACCCUGGUAGUCCACGCUGUAAACGAUGAUUACUAGGUGUGGGGGGACUGACCCCUUCCGUGCCGCAGUUAACACAAUAAGUAAUCCACCUGGGGAGUACGGCCGCAAGGUUGAAACUCAAAUGAAUUGACGGGG